rnacentral:rRNA from 1 species
AACGAACGCUGGCGGCGCGUAUUAAGCAUGCAAGUCGAACGGGAACCUCCCCGCAAGGGGAGGGGAGAGUGGCGAACGGGUGAGUAACACGUAGGUGAUCUAUCCCCGGGUGGGGUAUAGCCCAUGGAAACAUGGGGUAAUACCGCAUGAGGUCCUGGAGCUUGAAGGCUUCUGGAUGAAAGGCGCAAUUGUGUUGCCUGGGGAUGAGCUUGCGGCUCAUUAGCUAGUUGGCGGGGUAAAGGCCCACCAAGGCGCCGAUGGGUAGCCGGCCUGAGAGGGUGUACGGCCACACUGGGACUGAGACACGGCCCAGACUCCUACGGGAGGCAGCAGCUAAGAAUCUUCCGCAAUGGGGGAAACCCUGACGGAGCGACGCCGCGUGGACGAAGAAGGCCGCAAGGUUGUAAAGUCCUUUUGCAGACGAAGGAUAAGGCACGGAGUGGAACGCCGUGCUGAUGACGUUAGUCUGCGAAUAAGCCCCGGCCAAUUACGUGCCAGCCGCCGCGGUAAGAC